UACGUAGGGGGCAAGCGUUGUCCGGAUUUAUUGGGCGUAAAGCGCUCGCAGGUGGUUCGUCGCGUCGUGCGUGAAAGACCCCGGCUCAACUGGGGAGGGUCGUGCGAUACGGGCGAACUGGAGGCCAGUAGGGGGAUGCGGAAUUCCGGGUGUAGUGGUGGAAUGCGUAGAGAUCCGGAGGAACACCAGCGGCGAAGGCGGCAUCCUGGACUGGUCCUGACACUCAGGAGCGAAAGCGUGGGUAGCAAACAGG
rnacentral:rRNA from 1 species